CCAGCAAGCAACUUUGUCCACCAACCAGCUAUGGGGGCACAGAGCAAGAAAAGGGAAAGAGAGGAAAAAUCAUCCACCGGAAAGGCACCUCCUCCCACCAUGAUUAAAACUAACUAAAUCCCUUUUGUCUACUGCAGGAAAACGAAGGAUUGAUGAUGGCAGCAGGACGCGAUGCCAGGGAAAUCACCAAACCGGGGCAGAAAAUUUUCUGUCGAUUGUCAAAAAUUUUCUCGGAAGAACGAGGAAACAAUUUUAAUACUUUUCAGCUCUAGGUCGCCCACCAGUAAAAUGCGGGAAUACAUUUCAGUUCUAGGUCGCCCACCAGUAAAAUGCGGGAAUACAUUUCAGUUCUAGGUCGCCCACCAGUAAAAUGCGGGAAUACUUUUCAGUUCUAGGUCGCCCACCAGUAAAAUGCGGCAAUACUUUUCAGUUCUAGGUCGCCCACCAGUAAAAUGCGGGAAUACGUUUCAGUUCUAGGUCGCCCACCAGUAAAAUGCGGGAAUACAUUUAAGUUCUAGGUCGCCCACCAGUAAAAUGCGGGAACACAUUUAAGUUCUAGGUC
rnacentral:lncRNA from 1 species